GGUAGCUCAGUGGCAGAGUGUGUGCUUAGCAUGCACAAGUCCCUGGAUUUGAGUCCUAGCC
rnacentral:tRNA from 1 species